rnacentral:lncRNA from 1 species
ACUUGGAUUUUGCUUACCAAAUGAGAGAAAAAUCAAUAAUAAAUUUUAGACUUGGCACUUAAUCUACUGAGAGGACAAUGCCUCUGAUUCCUAAAAGAAAGAAAACUGAGGAAGGGGCAGGUCAGGGAAUAGGAGAACUGGGGAUACUGUUUUCAGAAUGUUUAGUUUGUCAUGCCUACUGCUUGUGUUCACAGAAAUUCCAAGAAGUUGACUGAUUUUAUGAGGCUGGAAUUUUGGGAAGUGGUCAGGGCUGAUGGUUUAGAUUAACAGUUAGGGGUACAAUAUAUUUUUUUCUUUUAGUUUUAGUUCACAUCGUAAUUGUACAUGUUUAAGGGAUACAGAGUGAUAUGUUGAUACAUGCAUACAAUGUGUAUAAUAGUCAAAUCAGGGUAAUUAGCACAUCCAUCACCUAAAACAUUUAUCAUUUCUCUAUGUGGUGAAGAUUCAAAAUCCUCUCCUCUAGCUUUUCAAAAACACACAAUAGAUUUUUUUUUUUCUAGCCACUUAUGUAGCUACAAAAAUAGUACUGGAGUAGGGGC